rnacentral:rRNA from 1 species
AUUGAACGCUGGCGGCAGGCCUAACACAUGCAAGUCGAGCGGUAACAGGAAGAAGCUUGCUUCUUUGCUGACGAGUGGCGGACGGGUGAGUAAUGUCUGGGAAACUGCCUGAUGGAGGGGGAUAACUACUGGAAACGGUAGCUAAUACCGCAUAACGUCGCAAGACCAAAGAGGGGGACCUUCGGGCCUCUUGCCAUCGGAUGUGCCCAGAUGGGAUUAGCUAGUAGGUGGGGUAACGGCUCACCUAGGCGACGAUCCCUAGCUGGUCUGAGAGGAUGACCAGCCACACUGGAACUGAGACACGGUCCAGACUCCUACGGGAGGCAGCAGUGGGGAAUAUUGCACAAUGGGCGCAAGCCUGAUGCAGCCAUGCCGCGUGUAUGAAGAAGGCCUUCGGGUUGUAAAGUACUUUCAGCGGGGAGGAAGGGAGUAAAGUUAAUACCUUUACUCAUUGACGUUACCCGCAGAAGAAGCACCGGCUAACUCCGUG